rnacentral:rRNA from 1 species
GAUGAACGCUGGCGGCGUGCCUAAUACAUGCAAGUCGAGCGAACGGACGAGAAGCUUGCUUCUCUGAUGUUAGCGGCGGACGGGUGAGUAACACGUGGAUAACCUACCUAUAAGACUGGGAUAACUUCGGGAAACCGGAGCUAAUACCGGAUAAUAUUUUGAACCGCAUGGUUCAAAAGUGAAAGACGGUCUUGCUGUCACUUAUAGAUGGAUCCGCGCUGCAUUAGCUAGUUGGUAAGGUAACGGCUUACCAAGGCAACGAUGCAUAGCCGACCUGAGAGGGUGAUCGGCCACACUGGAACUGAGACACGGUCCAGACUCCUACGGGAGGCAGCAGUAGGGAAUCUUCCGCAAUGGGCGAAAGCCUGACGGAGCAACGCCGCGUGAGUGAUGAAGGUCUUCGGAUCGUAAAACUCUGUUAUUAGGGAAGAACAUAUGUGUAAGUAACUGUGCACAUCUUGACGGUACCUAAUCAGAAAGCCACGGCUAACUACGUGCCGGCAGCCGCGGUAAUACGUAGGUGGCAAGCGUUAUCCGGAAUUAUUGGGCGUAAAGCGCGCGUAGGCGGUUUUUUAAGUCUGAUGUGAAAGCCCACGGCUCAACCGUGGAGGGUCAUUGGAAACUGGAAAACUUGAGUGCAGAAGAGGAAAGUGGAAUUCCAUGUGUAGCGGUGAAAUGCGCAGAGAUAUGGAGGAACACCAGUGGCGAAGGCGACUUUCUGGUCUGUAACUGACGCUGAUGUGCGAAAGCGUGGGGAUCAAACAGGAUUAGAUACCCUGGUAGUCCACGCCGUAAACGAUGAGUGCUAAGUGUUAGGGGGUUUCCGCCCCUUAGUGCUGCAGCUAACGCAUUAAGCACUCCGCCUGGGGAGUACGACCGCAAGGUUGAAACUCAAAGGAAUUGACGGGGACCCGCACAAGCGGUGGAGCAUGUGGUUUAAUUCGAAGCAACGCGAAGAACCUUACCAAAUCUUGACAUCCUUUGACAACUCUAGAGAUAGAGCCUUCCCCUUCGGGGGACAAAGUGACAGGUGGUGCAUGGUUGCCGUCAGCUCGUGUCGUGAGAUGUUGGGUUAAGUCCCGCAACGAGCGCAACCCUUAAGCUUAGUUGCCAUCAUUAAGUUGGGCACUCUAAGUUGACUGCCGGUGACAAACCGGAGGAAGGUGGGGAUGACGUCAAAUCAUCAUGCCCCUUAUGAUUUGGGCUACACACGUGCUACAAUGGACAAUACAAAGGGCAGCGAAACCGCGAGGUCAAGCAAAUCCCAUAAAGUUGUUCUCAGUUCGGAUUGUAGUCUGCAACUCGACUACAUGAAGCUGGAAUCGCUAGUAAUCGUAGAUCAGCAUGCUACGGUGAAUACGUUCCCGGGUCU